UUAGCGCCGGCUAACUCUGUGCCAGCAGCCGCGGUAAUACAGAGGGUGCAGCGUUAUCGGAUUUCUGGGCGUAAAGCGCGCGUAGGCGGCUAAUUAAGUCAAAUUGUGAAAUCCCCGAGCUUAACUUGGGAAUUGCAUUCGAUACUGGUUAGCUAGAGUGUGGGAGAGGAUGGUAGAAUUCCAGGUGUAACGGUGAAAUGCGUAGAGAUCUGGAGGAAUACCGAUGGCGAAGGCAGCCAUCUGGCCUAACACUGACGCUGAGGUGCGAAAGCAUGGGGAGCAAACAGGAUUAGAUACCCUGGUAGUCCAUGCCGUAAACGGUGUCUACUAACCGUUGGGGCCUUUGAGGCUUUACUGGCGCAGCUAACGCGAUAAGUAUAACGCCUGAGGAGUACGGUCGCAAUAAUAACAAUCCAAUGAAUUGACGGGGGCCGCAAAAACGGUGGAGCAUGUGG
rnacentral:rRNA from 1 species